rnacentral:rRNA from 1 species
GAUGAACGCUGGCGGCGUGCCUAAUACAUGCAAGUCGAGCGAACGGACGAGAAGCUUGCUUCUCUGAUGUUAGCGGCGGACGGGUGAGUAACACGUGGAUAACCUACCUAUAAGACUGGGAUAACUUCGGGAAACCGGAGCUAAUACCGGAUGAUAUUUUGAACCGCAUGGUUCAAAAGUGAAAGACGGUCUUGCUGUCACUUAUAGAUGGAUCCGCGCUGCAUUAGCUAGUUGGUAAGGUAACGGCUUACCAAGGCAACGAUGCAUAGCCGACCUGAGAGGAUGAUCGGCCACACUGGAACUGAGACACGGUCCAGACUCCUACGGGAGGCAGCAGUAGGGAAUCUUCCGCAAUGGGCGAAAGCCUGACGGAACAACGCCGCGUGAGUGAUGAAGGUCUUCGGAUCGUAAAACUCUGUUAUUAGGGAAGAACAUAUGUGUAAGUAACUGUGCACAUCUUGACGGUACCUAAUCAGAAAGCCACGGCUAACUACGUG